GAGGGUAUAGCUCAGUGAUAGAGUGCCUGCUCAGCAUGCAUGAGGUCAUGGGUUCAAUACCCAGUACCUCCA
rnacentral:tRNA from 1 species